AUUGAACGCUGGCGGCAGGCCUAACACAUGCAAGUCGAACGAGUGGCGGACGGGUGAGUAAUGUCUGGGAAACUGCCCGAUGGCGGGGGAUAACUACUGGAAACGGUAGCUAAUACCGCAUACCAUCGGAUGAGCCCAGAUGGGAUUAGCUUGUAGGUGAGGUAAUGGCUCACGUAGGCGACGAUCCCUAGCUGGGCUGCGAGGAUGACCAGCCACACUGUGACUGAUACACGGUGCAGACGCCUACGGGAGUGAGCAGUGGGGAAUAUGUCACAAUGGGCGCAAGCCUGAUGCAGCCAGGCCGCGGGGAUGAAGAAGGCAUGCGGGUUGUAAAGUACUUUCAGCGGGGAGGCGUUACACGCAGAAGAAGCACCGGCUAACUCCGUGCCAGCAGCCGCGGUAAUAC
rnacentral:rRNA from 1 species